CAAUAGCGUAUAUUAAAGUUGUUGCAGUUAAAAAGCUCGUAGUUGGAUUUGUGGCGUACGGUGGGUUCCGGGCACUUGUUGUCUGAGUAACUUGCUGUUGCCAUCCUUGGGUGGAACCUGUGUGGCAUUAGGUUGUCGUGCAGGGGAUGCCCAUCAUUUACUGUGAAAAAAUUAGAGUGUUCAAAGCAGGCUUAUGCCGUUGAAUAUAUUAGCAUGGAAUAAUGAGAUAGGACUUUUUUGCUAUUUUGUUGGUUUGCGCAAAGGGGUAAUGAUUAAUAGGGACAGUUGGGGGUAUUCGUAUUCCAUUGUCAGAGGUGAAAUUCUUGGAUUUUUGGAAGACGAACUACUGCGAAAGCAUUUACCAAGGACGUUUUCAUUAA
rnacentral:rRNA from 1 species